AACGUAGGUGGCGAGCGUUAUCCGGAUUUACUGGGCGUAAAGGGUGUGCAGGCUGCCCGGCAAGUGGUGUAUGAAAGCACCCGGCUCAACCGGGUCAUGGUAUGCCAGACUGCGGGGCUAGAGAGCGAGAGCGGGACGUGGAAUUCCGGGUGUAGUGGUGAAAUGCGUAGAGAUCCGGAGGAACCCCAGAGGCGAAGGCGGCGUCCUGGCUCGCAUCUGACGCUCAGACACGACAGCAUGGGGAGCGAACGGG
rnacentral:rRNA from 1 species